UACGAAGGGGGCUAGCGUUGCUCGGAAUCACUGGGCGUAAAGGGUGCGUAGGCGGGUCUUUAAGUCAGGGGUGAAAUCCUGGAGCUCAACUCCAGAACUGCCUUCGAUACUGCGGGUCUCGAGUCCGGGAGAGGUGAGUGGAAUUCCUAGUGUAGAGGUGAAAUUCGUAGAUAUUAGGAAGAACACCGGUGGCGAAGGCGGCCCACUGGUCCGGUACUGACGCUGAGGUGCGAAAGCGUGGGGAGCAAACAGG
rnacentral:rRNA from 1 species